rnacentral:rRNA from 1 species
UACGUAGGCAGCAAGCGUUGUUCGGAGUUACUGGGCGUAAAGAGUGCGUAGGCGGUCCUGUAAGUUUGGUGUGAAAUCUCCCGGCUCAACUGGGAGGGUGCGCCGAAGACUGCAGGGCUUGAGUAUGGGAGAGGUAAGCGGAAUUCCCGGUGUAGUGGUGAAAUGCGUAGAGAUCGGGAGGAACACCCGUAGCGAAGGCGGCCGACUGGACCACACCUGACGCUGAGGCGCGAAGGCCAGGGGAGCGAACGGG